rnacentral:rRNA from 1 species
UGGGCAACCUGCCCUCAGCUCUGGGAUAACUCCAAGAAAUUGGGGCUAAUACCGGAUAUGACCGCUGACCGCAUGGUCUGGUGGUGGAAAGAUUUAUCGGCUGGGGAUGGGCCCGCGGCCUAUCAGCUUGUUGGGUGGGGUAGUGGCCUACCAAGGCGACGACGGGUAGCCGGCCUGAGAGGGUGACCGGCCACACUGGGACUGAGACACGGCCCAGACUCCGUACGGGAG